rnacentral:rRNA from 1 species
UACCGAGGAUGCAAGCGUUAUCCGGAAUGAUUGGGCGUAAAGCGUCUGUAGGUGGCUUUUUAAGUCCGCCGUCAAAUCCCAGGGCUCAACUCUGGACAGGCGGUGGAAACUACCAAGCUGGAGUACGGUAGGGGCAGAGGGAAUUUCCGGUGGAGCGGUGAAAUGCGUAGAGAUCCGGAAGAACACCGACGGCGAAGGCAGCGCCCUGGACGAGACCUGACGCUCAGGCACGAAAGCUGGGGGAGCGAACAGG